GCUUCCGUAGCUCAGUUGGUUAGAGCUUCGUACUAAUAAACGUUAGUGAUGCGGAGGCCGCAGGUUCAAGCCCUGCCGGGAGCA
rfam:Metarhizium robertsii ARSEF 23 MAA_Scf_2, whole genome shotgun sequence.